GCACAUAGUCCUGUGCUGUUUGAUUCCGUUAAGAAAUCCCCCAGGGCCUCAAAUGUUCAGGGCCAGCAUUCUUUGUCCUUCCCCCUCCAGACAAGGGCAACUGCCAGCUCCCCUUCCUUGUAUACCAGGCUCCCUCCCACCCCCAUACAUCAUUUGCUGCUAAUCACCUAACUUAAGAGAUGCCUUUUGUUCCCACUCCCUUCCUAAGUCGCUUUAGGCUGCAUCAGCAACUUGGGGGCUGGCUGGGUCUUACUUCCCCCCGAGAGACGUGCUCAAACCCCACGGCAUAGGCAGCAGGGGAAGGAAAACCUUCUUCCCUCAAAGUUACUGGGCUGAUGUCCUCGCAUCCGAUGGCCUCUUUCAUCCCUGAUUCUAAUUUAAAGACUAAUCUGGAACUGGCAAAAGGAGGGCCACUUUAAGUUGUCCUGACAUACAGUGGGAGCUGGCAGCAGGAAGGGAACUCCACCACUCAGGGGCAAGCUCGGGAAAAUGCAAAAAUAGCGCACUCCGUGAAAGGAGAAAAGCUCUUCUGGAGUCUCGCCACAUCCCCGUUAAGAUGCGUGUGGACUUUCAGUGACUCAUAACCAAGAGAAUGCCGCAGAAGACAUGGCUUCUGCUUCAAGAACAGCAGCAUUCACACCAGAGCCUUGAUUGCAACUGCCAUCCCCAAAGUCAUCACUCUGUGACAAAGCCCAAAUUAGUGCAUGUGGAAAUCACAUGUAAAGGUGCUAAAUGAGACCAUCUGGAGAGACAAAGAUGCCCGGCAGCCCCCAGUGGCACCAGACCCCCACUGUCCAAGUUCUAGCCACUAUCUGAUUGCAAACACAUGAAAAACCCCACACCAGAAUCACGUAGCCAAGAUAUAUCCAAAUUCCUGAUCCAUAGA
rnacentral:lncRNA from 10 species